UUCCUGGAAGGUUGGCCUGUGUGGAGAGGAUCAGAAGAACCAGGCCAGUGUGUUUAUCAUCCUCAGCCUCCUUCCUCCUUAGAAGGUAGCUUUAGGAUGCGGUAUCUCUCAACCAAGGCUCUUUCAAGGUGUCUUGCUCAUCCAACUGGUCUCUCGCAGACUCCCUCAGCCCUUCAUAGGCCCAUGAGGAUGAAGGGAGAGGAGCUGAUACACGGAGUUUCUGACAGCCCGGCCUCCUGGAGGGAUACAUCCACCCACGAAUGAGCUAAGCCAGGAAGCAGAGUUACAGGGAAUGGGAGCUAUAACCCAGAGGGAAUGUGAAGAGACUCUCCAGCAAGCCCAUGAGGACACAACCAGCAAGAGCCAGCAAGAACCAAACAGAAACCAUGGAGGGU